AUUGAACGCUGGCGGCAGGCCUAACACAUGCAAGUCGAACGAGUGGCGGACGGGUGAGUAAUGUCUGGGAAACUGCCUGAUGGAGGGGGAUAACUACUGGAAACGGUAGCUAAUACCGCAUACCAUCAGAUGUGCCAAGAUGGGAUUAGCUUGUUGGUGGGGUAACGGCUCACCAAGGCGACGAUCCCUAGCUGGUCUGAGAGGAUGACCAGCCACACGGGAACGUAGACACGGGCGAGACUCCUAGGGGAGGCAGCAUGGGGGAAGAUGGCACAAUGGGCGCAAGCCGGAUGCAGCCAUGCCGCGUGGAUGAAGAAGGCCUUCGGGUUGUAAAGGACUUUCAGCGGGGAGGCGGUACCCGCAGAAGAAGCACCGGCUAACGCCGUGCCAGCAGCCGCGGUAAUUC
rnacentral:rRNA from 1 species